rnacentral:rRNA from 1 species
AUUGAACGCUGGCGGCAGGCUUAACACAUGCAAGUCGAGCGGGGAAAUAUAGCUUGCUAUAUGACCUAGCGGCGGACGGGUGAGUAAUGCUUAGGAAUCUGCCUAUUAGUGGGGAACAACAUUUCGAAAGGGAUGCUAAUACCGCAUACGCCCUACGGGGGAAAGCAGGGGAUCUUCGGACCUUGCGCUAAUAGAUGAGCCUAAGUCGGAUUAGCUAGUUGGUGGGGUAAAGGCCUACCAAGGCGACGAUCUGUAGCGGGUCUGAGAGGAUGAUCCGCCACAAUGGGACUGAGACACGGCCCAGACUCCUACGGGAGGCAGCAUUGGGGUAUAUUGGACAAUGGGGGGAACCCUGAUCCAGCCAUGCCGCGUGUGUGAAGAAGGCCUUUUGGUUGUAAGGCACUUUAAGCGAGGAGGAGGCUCCUGUAGAUAAUACCUACAGUGAGUGGACGUUACUCGCAGAAUAAGCACCGGCUAACUCUGUGCCAGCAGCCGCCGUAA